rnacentral:rRNA from 1 species
GUACCAUGCAGUCGACGGCAGCACAGAAGAGCUUGCUCUUUGGGUGGCGAGUGGCGGACGGGUGAGUAAUGUCUGGGAAACUGCCCGAUGGAGGGGGAUAACUACUGGAAACGGUAGCUAAUACCGCAUAACGUCGCAAGACCAAAGUGGGGGACCUUCGGGCCUCACACCAUCGGAUGUGCCCAGAUGGGAUUAGCUAGUAGGUGGGGUAAUGGCUCACCUAGGCGACGAUCCCUAGCUGGUCUGAGAGGAUGACCAGCCACACUGGAACUGAGACACGGUCCAGACUCCUACGGGAGGCAGCAGUGGGGAAUAUUGCACAAUGGGCGCAAGCCUGAUGCAGCCAUGCCGCGUGUAUGAAGAAGGCCUUCGGGUUGUAAAGUACUUUCAGCGGGGAGGAAGGCGGUGAGGUUAAUAACCUCGCCGAUUGACGUUACCCGCAGAAGAAGCACCGGCUAACUCCGUGCCAGCAGCCGCGGUAAUACGGAGGGUGCAAGCGUUAAUCGGAAUUACUGGGCGUAAAGCGCACGCAGGCGGUCUGUUAAGUCAGAUGUGAAAUCCCCGGGCUUAACCUGGGAACUGCAUUUGAAACUGGCAGGCUUGAGUCUCGUAGAGGGGGGUAGAAUUCCAGGUGUAGCGGUGAAAUGCGUAGAGAU